AUAAUGACAAGGAACAGAAGAGUAGGCGUUUUUCAAUUUCAGAGACUGUCCGGAAGCUGUGAGGAUAGAAUGAAAGACGAACGAAUCACAUCUGCGAGUCAGCAUCUUGAAACUAGUAAAGAUAUUCGGUUUGGGGCCGUUAACACUGUGAGUUUUUAACUUACUGAGGCUGUCUUUGUGAAAAGAUGGUAAAAUGAGGUGGGAUCGCGCUUUUUUGUGCCCUCUUA
rnacentral:ncRNA from 1 species